rnacentral:rRNA from 1 species
UACGAAGGGGGCUAGCGUUGUUCGGAAUCACUGGGCGUAAAGGGCGCGUAGGCGGCUUUGUAAGUCGGGGGUGAAAGCCUGUGGCUCAACCACAGAAUUGCCUUUCGAUACUGCAUGGCUUGAGACCGGAAGAGGUAAGUGGAACUGCGAGUGUAGAGGUGAAAUUCGUAGAUAUUCGCAAGAACACCAGUGGCGAAGGCGGCUUACUGGUCCGGUUCUGACGCUGAGGCGCGAAAAGCGUGGGGGAGCAAACAGG